UACAGAGGGGGCAAGCGUUGUUCGGAAUUACUGGGCGUAAAGGGCUCGUAGGCGGCCAACUAAGUCAGACGUGAAAUCCCUCGGCUUAACCGGGGAACUGCGUCUGAUACUGGAUGGCUUGAGUUCGGGAGAGGGAUGCGGAAUUCCAGGUGUAGCGGUGAAAUGCGUAGAUAUCUGGAGGAACACCGGUGGCGAAGGCGGCAUCCUGGACCGACACUGACGCUGAGGAGCGAAAGCCAGGGGAGCAAACGGG
rnacentral:rRNA from 1 species